rnacentral:misc_RNA from 1 species
AAGUCGUAACAAGGUUUCCGUAGGGGAACCUGCGGAAGGAUCAUUAACACGUUAUCCACGUAUCACCAUAGAGAACCGUUUAAUUCUACCUCUGUUUGGGAAUGAACAGCAACACGAUAUAUAGAGUGACUGGUCGGGACUGCCUCACGGCGUCUGGCUCUAUUUUGUUAUUCACAUAUUUUCAUUUUCGCAAGAGAGUGAUCUUGUGUGUACUGUUGUAUCCUCUACAGUUGGCCCCCUCUCGGCGCGCAACUCUCCUUCCAUGAAGUGAGCGCCGUGAAACGUAUCUAUAACCAUUCUAACCCCUUUUUGCUAGUUGACUUUUAUAUGUUGCUGCUUUCUUUGCUUCGGCAAGGAUUCGGUACACGUUUAAUUAUUUGAACGUUAAAAAUACAACUCUUAGCAAUGGAUAUCUAGGUUCUC